UACGGAGGAUCCAAGCGUUAUCCGGAAUCAUUGGGUUUAAAGGGUCCGUAGGCGGCCUUAUAAGUCAGUGGUGAAAUCUCACGGCUCAACCGUGAAAUGGCCAUUGAUACUGUAGGGCUUGAAUUACCAGGAAGUAACUAGAAUAUGUAGUGUAGCGGUGAAAUGCUUAGAUAUUACAUGGAAUACCGAUUGCGAAGGCAGGUUACUACUGGUGGGUUGACGCUGAUGGACGAAAGCGUGGGUAGCGAACAGG
rnacentral:rRNA from 1 species